UCGGAAAUCCUUGUUGACCGAGACUUGGAUAGGCAACUUAACCAGUCUGUCUCGAAGCAGUGUUGUUUAUCCAAACUGAAGGUGCUCCUUGGUCAGCUGAUUCUACGGCUCCAGUGUUGUUUAUAGUAGCAAUUUCCUAAAUAACCGAACUAGAAUUUCACUCGAACUGAAAUUCCUCAUCCCAAUCUGAUUCGGUCUCGACCAAUCCUAACCUACAUAGGACUCUAAACCAAGUUCUUUAAUCCAAGAUAACCACUUUCGAGCUAUUUUUCGGCCAAACCACGGUGAGUUAGCUAUCAAGAAAGGUAUCAUUCUCUUCCUCUCGUUGAGAAAUAUGAUUUUCAUUUUUGAAUCACUCGAUUUCGUUGAGUAUUGAAGAAGUUAUAAACGUUUAAAGUUUACCUAGUUUCCAGUGAGUUUUCUAGUUUUCCCACGGACCAGUCACCUUUCAGGCUAUUUUUCGGCCAUCUCCGGCAACCAUUGGGCUUCCAAAUAGGUAUAAUAUUGUUCUACACUUUCCUAUCUUCAUUUUGAUCGAAUUUGGUUAAGAAACAAUUGAGUUACGAUGACACACCCCGACCGAGGUCAAGGUAUGCUGGCCGUCACGUGAGAGUGACGUAGCCAUGUGCACAGUGCGGAAGCGACAAAUAUAGCAAACAUAUGAAUAAUUAAAACCAUAUUACUAGUGUGCACUUCUAAACAGAAAGUGGUAGGAGUUAAGUACAACAGUACCACUCCUAAUCAGAACAUAAAGUUUAGGUGCAGUCCAGUAGGACAAGUACUAGUUAUACAGUACCAAGAAUGUCCUACUAUAAUAUGGAUAAGUCAGAACUGCUGACGUUCUUUAGCCACCAACAACAAUCUUACUUAAAACCUGGAGGGGCGCAAAAUAGAAAACGUGAGUGGGCAAAAAUAAAUGUUUUACAAAAUCAUUUCAUUUAUCAACAUAUCUAACCCCUCGCUAUAAAACAUGUAAAAUUUUCCCAUAAUCAAGAUGUA
rnacentral:lncRNA from 1 species